rnacentral:rRNA from 1 species
UACGUAGGGUGCGAGCGUUAAUCGGAAUUACUGGGCGUAAAGCGUGCGCAGGCGGUUUUGUAAGUCAGAUGUGAAGUCCCCGGGCUUAACCUGGGAACUGCGUUUGAAACUACAAGGCUAGAGUGUGGCAGAGGGGGGUGGAAUUCCACGUGUAGCAGUGAAAUGCGUAGAGAUGUGGAGGAACACCGAUGGCGAAGGCAGCCCCCUGGGUUAACACUGACGCUCAGGCACGAAAGCGUGGGGAGCAAACAGG